UGACAUUUCCUACCAAAAAUAAAACUAACCCUUCUUGAGUAAGAAGCAAUGAGUUCUACCACCACCUUCCUCCUCCUCACUCUCUCUCUCUCUCCUUCUUAUCCUCUUUCUCUCCUUCGCCACCCUCUGCGACGCAGUCGAGCUCUUCUUCUCCUCCGACUUCCAAUGGAUGGCCCUCCACCUCGAACUAGUCGCCCAAUCCCCCAAGACCACCACUCUCUCACCAUCUUCGCUCCCACCAACGCUGCCUUCGAAUGCCUUCCCCACCACCUCUCCCUCUCCCUCCUCUGCUACUAACUCCUCCCUCCCCUUUGGUGUCACCAUUCCUACCUUCCUCCCCAACCACUCCCUCACCAUCACCACCACUAUCUUCAUCAACAACGUCACCCUCACUAGUAAGGAAAUAAUUAUUAUCAAAUUAUACGUAAUUAUGGUACGUUAUUAUACGUAAUUAUAUGCAAAUAAUUGGAUAAUCAUAGAAUCACAUGAUUAGUGGAUCAUUACAUAAUUAACUUGUAACUUGGAGAAAUAAAGUCUUCAUACACUAUAUAUUUUCUAUACAUGGAGUGAUGUAAAUACACACAAGAGAAUAAGAAAUCUCCAUUUUUCUUAAGAUUUUGAGUGUUUGGAAGUCUCUGGUGCUCAUGCUGUCAUUAUCAUCGAUAUGAAAGAGAAGGAAAAGCAAAGAAGGUUAUCAUAAUCUUCAUCGUAAGCUUUCUUUUCGAAAGUCUUCUUCUCCUAUUACGAAGUGGAUUUUAAGUCUAACUCAACCCCAUAAAACUGGUUCAUAGGGUUGAGGUUUGCACCCACUUAUAUACAAUGAAAGACUCUAAUCUCUAGUCGAUGUGGGAUCUCCAACACAUCUCAUUUACCUACGUCCUUACCCAAAGAUGUUGUUGGUUCGACUCGUCAUCUUCCCAAAAGACAAUGAUCUCCUUAAACCUCCUAACAAAUCUGUCUUCCCUUCUUCUUCCAAAGACACAUCCAAUGUUUUACGUGUCUUGAAAAGGGGCACUACUCUUCCAACUGCCCACAGAAGAGAGCCUUGCUCCUUCACCAGCCAAAUAAUCCUCCACAACCUCUUCCUGCUAUAAUUGUUAUAGUACGCGGCUGGUUCAUAAGCUGUCUUUACCCACUCAACCCCAUACUGUUUGGAUUUCUGUUUACUUCAUUCAACUGCAUUUCCAGGUACUGGUUUCUAUUCUUAUACUUGUCCAAUUUUUUCUUCUUCUUACCUUUUUUCCCGUACAUCCUAUAUGCACUGUUUCUUCUUUUGUUGUUGUAGUCUCAUUCUUUGUAUUUUUCUUUUCAGGUGGAUUCAUGAACCCAUAGCGCCAUCCCUUUCAUGCACGGUGGCCUUGUUCCAUCGGAUAUGAGAACAGAUCCUUUUGAAGGGGAGCCCGAUGGAGUACCAUCCAAAGUCACCAUACACACUAAAUAAAGGACUCAAGCACUAUCUGUAUAAAUAAAGUAGAAUAUCAUUGUAAUAGAAGUCUGCUUAUGUGUUCCAUUAUAUUCUAUGCAAAUACAAAUGUAUAAACAUUACAUAAGGGGUAGAAUAGCUUAAGGAGCAAGCUAUCCCUUAUCUUAUAUAAAUAGCUUGCAUACACAUUUUUGUACUCAGAUUUAACAUAAUUGUGAAUGAAGUUUUCUGAAUUCAGAAAUCAUCAUCUCUCAAAUCUCC
rnacentral:lncRNA from 1 species